GACGGAGGGCGCAAGCGUUGUUCGGAAUUACUGGGCGUAAAGCGCGCGCAGGCGGGCAGAUAAGUCUGGAGUGAAAUUCCGGGGCUCAACUCCGGAGCUGCUUUGGAUACUGUUUUUCUAGGGACCGGUAGAGGCCGGUGGAAUUCCCGGUGUAGCGGUGGAAUGCGUAGAGAUCCGGAAGAACACCGGUGGCGAAGGCGGCCUGCUGGGCAGUUGCUGACACUGAGGCGCGACAGCGUGGGGAGCAAACAGG
rnacentral:rRNA from 1 species